GAUGAUUGUUUAGAACGCUAAAUUUCUGCAAUCGUAUAUUGAUAGAAACGGAGUGUUGUUGUCGUUCAGACAUUGUUAGCUUACAUACAAAAACUUGAUUAUAAGUGUACCAUUGUGUACGGAUAUCUCUGAAAUUGUUCCACAAGGUUCUAUACCAGGAAAAAAGGUUAGGGUUGAUUAUGGGUGUUGUUGUAUUAAUGGUUUAGAAAAAAGGGGUUAAUAGAAAGGUUUCUUUUGUUUCGGGACAAUAACUUGUGUAAUUUUGCGUUUCUUUAUUUAAUUGUUCCUUCACUCCAAAAAGAAAAUUAUAAUUUCUUUAGAAUUAUGAUAAAACCGUAUAGGAAUAGGGGGACAAAAAGGUGUAAAUGAAUUAAGAAUAUUUUCAAGAUAAUAACUUGUGUAUAAGUCUAUGGAUCAAUAUGAAAUUGCACAAUAAAGUUCCAUACCACAGAAGG
rnacentral:lncRNA from 1 species